rnacentral:rRNA from 1 species
UUUAUUUAAAGUCUGGUCUGCUCACUGAAAUUUAAAGAGCCGCAGUAUUUUGACUGUGCGAAGGUAGCAUAAUAAUUAGUUUCUUGAUUGGGAACUGGUAUGAAUGGUUGGACGAGAAAUUGACUGUCUCUUUUUAAUUGUAAUGAAUUUUAUUUUUAAGUUAAAAAGCUUAAAUUUUUUUAAAAGACGAGAAGACCCUAUAGAGUUUUAUUUUUUCUUUUUUGUAUUAAUUUUAGGUAUUUAAUAUUUUACGAUUUGGAGAAAUUUGAUUGGGGUGAUUGAAAAAUUGAUUUAACUUUUUUUUUAUUUGAACAAAUUUAAUUGAUUAUUUGAUCCAUUUUUUGUGAUUACAAGAUUAAAUUACCUUAGGGAUAACAGCGUAAUCUUUCUUGAGAGUUCUUAUCGAAAGAAGGGGUUGCG